rnacentral:rRNA from 1 species
UUGAACGCUGGCGGCAUGCCUAACACAUGCAAGUCGAACGGCAGCAUGAAGUGGAGCUUGCUCUACUUUGAUGGCGAGUGGCGGACGGGUGAGUAAUAUGUAGGAAUCUACCUUGAAGUGGGGGAUAACUUAGGGAAACUUAAGCUAAUACCGCAUAAUGUCUAAGGAAGAAAGCAGGGGAUCGUAAGACCUUGCGCUUUAAGAUGAGCCUACAUCGGAUUAGCUAGUUGGUGGGGUAAAGGCCUACCAAGGCUAUGAUCCGUAGCAGGUCUGAGAGGAUGGCCUGCCACACUGGGACUGAGACACGGCCCAGACUCCUACGGGAGGCAGCAGUGGGGAAUAUUGGACAAUGGGCGCAAGCCUGAUCCAGCAAUGCCGCGUGUGUGAAGAAGGCCUUAGGGUUGUAAAGCACUUUCAGUGGGGAGGAAGGAGUGAAUGCUAAUACCAUUUGCUAUUGACGUUACCCACAGAAGAAGCACCGGCUAACUCUGUGCCAGCAGCCGCGGUAAUACAGAGGGUGCAAGCGUUAAUCGGAAUUACUGGGCGUAAAGGGUGUGUAGGUGGUUGUAUAAGUUAGAUGUGAAAUCCCCGGGCUCAACCUGGGAACUGCGUUUAAGACUGUAUAACUAGAGUACUGUAGAGGAUAGUGGAAUUUCCAGUGUAGCGGUGAAAUGCGUAGAUAUUGGAAGGAACACCAGUGGCGAAGGCGACUAUCUGGACAGAUACUGACACUGAGACACGAAAGCGUGGGGAGCAAACAGGAUUAGAUACCCUGGUAGUCCAUGCUGUAAACUAUGAGAACUUGCUGUUGGAUGCAUAAAGGCAUUUAGUAGCGAAGCUAACGCGUUAAGUUCUCCGCCUGGGGAGUACGGUCGCAAGACUAA